rnacentral:lncRNA from 1 species
GUUUCAUGCACCUUUAGUCCCAGCUACUCAGGCUGAGGCAGAAGAACUGCUUGAACCUGGGAGGCAGAAAUUGCAGUGAGCCGAGAGCCACUCCACUCCAACCUGGGCAACAGAGCAAGACUCCGUCUCCAGAAAAAAAAGAGAGAGAAGGGGGUUAGGAUUGGAAUGGGACACACAAAAAGGACUUCUAAGGUAAGGAGCUGGUUGAAUUCAAGCAUGCAAAACCCAUGGGUAUAGAAGGCCAACUGUAAUAAUUUUGUCUGCUCCAUGAAGAAUAACGAAUAGACUCAAAGGGAUAAUCAAAGAAGCAGCAAGACCACUUAGGAAGCUCCUGCAAUCAUCCAGGAGAUUAUUUUAAACUUGAUGGAUCAAUCCUCUUAAGGAUAACGAAUUUGGAUUUGCAAGAAUUCAAGGCAAUUCCGGGUAACAUUUUUUUCUUCACUUCAAAAUUAUAAAAUUUAAAGAUCUCAUAAAAUCAACAGAGUAUGAGAAGAAUAAUUAAAUAUGAGCCAUAAUUAUUUGGACUUUUUGGUUAGUUUCAGUUGGUCACAUACAUGAUUUUAUCAUGUUGUAUAUCUGCGUGUAUCAGUUAGGUUCACAAGAUAAACUCUAGGGCCAAAUACUUAAUGCCCUUUCAUAUUGGAAAUGCUUCUAUUAAAGAUACAUAAGACAGGCUGGGCAUGGUGGCUCACGCCUGUAAUCUCAGCACUUUGGGAGGCUGAGACGGGCAGAUCACUUGACAUCAGAAGUUUGAGAACAGCCUGGCCAACAUUGUGAAACCCCGUCUCUACUAAAUAUACAGAAAAUUAGCCAGACGUGGUGGCGCAUGCCUGUAAUCUCAGCCACUUGGGAGGCUGAGACAGGAGAAUCGCUUGAACCCAGGAGGUGGAGGUUGCAGUGAGCCUGUAAUAAGGGUUAAAAAGAAAAAAAAAAAAGUUUUCCUCUGCUUAGCAGCUCAAUUCAAGAACAGUUAUAACACUGUCCAAAAAGCCAAGGACAGAGGAAUGGGCUCCAGACACCCCCGCCCCCUCCAGAGCAAGGUUAAGGAAAAAAAAAAGAGAGAGAAAGACAAAUUCCUUUAUUGUUACUCCUUUCCCUUGCCUCUUAAGCAUAACGGUGUUUUACAAAUGCCUGUAUUUAGCCAAUUCUUGUUUUUCUUUUGACACAGCUAAAAGGCCACCAGCUAUGCAAGGCCACAAGUUAUGCACUAUAUGAUUAACUACCUUUGUUUUGCUCUUAUGAGCCCACUUAUAAAAACCUCGCUCUGUCUUUAUUCAAGGCCCAGCUUUUUGGAGGUAAAUCCACUGAGCCGGUGUGUACCUCACAAUAAAUAUCCUCCUGUAUUCACGCAUACUGGUCUCUCUAAUCCUCUGCGUCCCGCAACAAGCUGAGAGCGCGCCACUGCACUUGCAGUCUUGCACAUAGCAAGACUAUGUCUCAACAACAACAAAAAAGGGUCUCGCUCUGUUGCCAAGGCUGGAGUGCAGUGGAGUGAUCUCGGCUCACAGCAACCUCAGCAUCCUGAGUUCAAGCACGUCUCAUGCCUCAGCCUCCCAAGUAGCUGGGAUUAUAGGCACGCGCCACCACACCAGGCUAAUUUUUGUAUUUUUUUUUUAUACUUUAAGUUUUAGGGUACAUGUGCACAUUGUGCAGGUUAGUUACAUAUGUAUACAUGUGCCAUGCUGGCGCACUGAACCCACUAACUCGUCAUCUAGCAUUAGGUAUAUCGCCUGAUGCUAUCCCUCCCCCCUCCCCCUACCCCACAACAGUCCCCAGAGUGUGAUAUUCCCCUUUCUGUGUCCAUGUGAUCUCAUUGUUCAAUUCCCACCUAUGAGUGAGAAUAUGCGGUGUUUGGUUUUUUGUUCUUGCGAUAGUUUACUGAGAAUGAUGAUUUCCAGUUUCAUCAGAAUCUACAAUGAACUCAAACAAAUUUACAAGAAAAAAACAAACAACCCCAUCAAAAAGUGGGCGAAGGACAUGAACAGACACUUCUCAAAAGAAGACAUCUAUGCAGCCAAAAAACACAUGAAAAAAUGCUCAUCAUCGCUGGCCAUCAGAGAAAUGCAAAUCAAAACCACAAUGAGAUACCAUCUCACACCACUUAG